rnacentral:sRNA from 1 species
AUUUGAAUAUGCUUGCCGUAGACAGUAGGUGCCAUUUGGCUUAAUUUCCUGCCGAGGUGUGAUUAUAGAACUUAGAACGAUGCAAAUCGAUGAUGAGUAUAUAUCAAGCCUUCGUGAUUCUACGGAGGCUUUUCUU